rnacentral:rRNA from 1 species
UACGUAGGGCGCGAGCGUUGUCCGGAAUUAUUGGGCGUAAAGAGCUCGUAGGCGGCUUGUCGCGUCGGAUGUGAAAGCCCGGGGCUUAACUCCGGGUCUGCAUUCGAUACGGGCAGGCUAGAGUUCGGUAGGGGAGAUCGGAAUUCCUGGUGUAGCGGUGAAAUGCGCAGAUAUCAGGAGGAACACCGAUGGCGAAAGCAGCUCGCUGGGACGGUACUGACGCUGAGACGCGAAAGCGUGGGGAGCGAACAGG